rnacentral:rRNA from 1 species
UACGGGGGGGGGCAAGCGUUGUUCGGAAUUACUGGGCGUAAAGGGUCUGUAGGUGGCCAACUAAGUCAGACGUGAAAUCCCUCAGCUUAACUGGGGAACUGCGUCUGAUACUGGAUGGCUUGAGUGUGGGAGAGGAAUGCGGAAUUCCAGGUGUAGCGGUGAAAUGCGUAGAUAUCUGGAGGAACACCGGUGGCGAAGGCGGCAUUCUGGACCAUAACUGACACUGAGAGACGAAAGCCAGGGGAGCAAACGGG